rnacentral:rRNA from 1 species
UACGGAGGGUCCAAGCGUUAUCCGGAAUCAUUGGGUUUAAAGGGUCCGUAGGCGGUUUUGUAAGUCAGUGGUGAAAGCCCAUCGCUCAACGGUGGAACGGCCAUUGAUACUGCAAGACUUGAAUUAUUGGGAAGUAACUAGAAUAUGUAGUGUAGCGGUGAAAUGCUUAGAGAUUACAUGGAAUACCAAUUGCGAAGGCAGGUUACUACCAAUAUAUUGACGCUGAUGGACGAAAGCGCGGGGAGCGAACAGG